AAUGGCGUCUUGCUUCUCCUGUGGGCCCAGACCUCCUCCCAGGUUCACUCUGCCGUGGCGUUCCACUUCCCAAAUCAUAGCACACCGGUCCCCGACCCAUGGCACAGCGCUCCUUAGCCCCUCAGGCUGUCCCCUCACAGCCAACCCUAGUCCUCUCCAGUUCCUCUCCCCAGAACUGACAGCCGGAGCCUGAGUCUCAGUGCCUAGCCCCUGCCCCAGCGUCUCAGGUUGUGGUGUCUGGUGCAGUGAUGCAGAUGAUCUGUGUGGCUCUUACUCUACUUUGCCCUCCUCAGUCCAGCUGCUGCCCUUUUCUUGGCGACUUUGAGGUCCCUCCGACUCGGCUGAUCUUCCCAAAGGGGUGUCCUGGAGAUCUUAGCCCAAAGAAGUGAAUUUACGUGGGAAUUUCAGCCAUUGUGGCAGACCAGGUGAAGAAGUUUUGAGAGUGAGUGUGCUUAGUGGAAAUGCUUAAUUCAACCCCAAAGGAUGGGACACUGGAAUAAAACUGGCCUCGUUCAACUUUUUGUUCGGUUCUUCUUCUGGUAACGAAGUUAUCACUUCACUUUUUGUGUGUCCAAAAGGAAACUUGGAAUCCAAAUUGGUGAAGUUCAUGAAGAACAGUCGUUGGAGGUAAGUGAAAAGCCUUGGCUUCACUGCAGGCACUCAUGUUCAGCAGUCAUUUUUCCAUAUAGUCCUAAAGUAACUUCUAACUUUUGGCAUAGAUGUUGAUGCUUCUUCAAAAGAUUUGUGUCUUCUGGUUUUCAUGUGGUCAGUGGUAUCACUUAGCCCUCAUGAGAGAUGGUAAACCGUAUUGAUAAACAUUCUAAGUUCCAUAUACAUCAUCAGUUUCCUUAUGAAAUCAAAUUCAGAGCUUAUUUUUUAGCUCUGCUGCUCAGAGUUCAUUGCAAAAUAAAACGACAUUACUAUGUAAUAAUAGCUACUGUAUAUGUAUGUAAAUCGUACGGUGACUCACAAAAUCAUGUUAUGGCUGUUUUCAGGCUGCUGUCCAUAAGCUCUAUGAUAAAGUGGCCCAGCCUCUGGUUCCCAUCUAUGUCUCCCACCUAGCCAAUGGAGUCUCAUGUUUCUGCUGACCCUACCAACAGAUGACUCAGUGGCUCUGUGCCUUUGGAAGGGUGUGGGUGUGGCAUAGGCUGCAGCACAAUUGACUGGCCCAGCAAUGGCUUGUUGGGGCAGGGAUGUUGAGUCUUUCUCCACUGCCACCUAAACUGUAUGAAAUUAGCUUCCUGAGCUCUUUCUUGCCUGAGGGCACUGCAUUAACCAGCAGGUGCCAUGUCUGCUGUCUUUGAAAGGGAGAAACUUGUUAUGCUGAGUCUGGAAAAAAUAGGGAAAAGAGAGCUGGGUUAUGGCUAGACAUCUUUUAGACUUAAUCACAUGUUAAAGUGAAAAAUCUGUUUAUUGUGCAUACAUCUCCCACAGUAUUAGCCAAGACCAUAUCAGAAGCUGAAAAUACAAAGUAGAAGUCUGCCGACACAGUUAUUAAUAAUUCUUCAUUAAAAAAUUUAAAAUCUGAGGGAAAUUUUAGACAAGUUGGGACACUGGGACCACAGGUAUAAACCGGGAUUGUCCCGCUUACAGGAAAAUAAGGGAGCUUCAUUUUCUUUGCCCUUUUGGGAAUGGUGUUUGUAAUUUUCCUCCCUGCUGUACUAGCAUAUUUGAGUUUUCUAAAGUUGUGGUUUCCUAGGUUUGAAUUCACUAAGCUAAUAGCAAUAAAUGAGCCCAGAAUGCCUGCUUGAUACCUGUGGCUGUGUGACCACCAGUUUAUUUCUUUUGCUGUUGAAAGUAAUUUAAAAGCUGCCUGAUUGACUAGGCUGUCUUGGUCACUUAGUUAUAAGGACAGACCUGAGCCGGCAGGGAACAAAAGGCCUGGCACAUGUUAUGUAGUCAAUAAAGAGUUUAAUAAAGGAGCUAUUGUUGGGGGUGUUAUUGAAAGCCACCAACUUUCUCAUGGCUGUUUUCCUUGUAACAGUAGUGAUCUCAAAGGAGAUUCCAUGGUUAUGUGUUUAUGACUCAUAUAAACUUAUAGAUAUUUAAUGGAAAUAUAAAUAAAGAGUCAAAAAGUAAUGUCAAUAGUUUCUUGAAAAUCAUGGUAAAAUGACCUUAGAGCAUUCAAAAUGUCAAUAAACAACUGCCCCAUUAUAGCACCAGAAUCAUAAGAUCAUGCAAAGAGGUUUACAGAAAUAAAAAAAGAAGGAGAGAGAGAUAGACCACUUAUCUCAGAAUCUUUGGGCAAAGACCUAGCACAAUCUACUCUUUCUGCAGUGUCUACUGCAACUUUUGCCUCUGCUUGACAUGUCAAACUAUGCAGCUAAAUGCUGAUACUCGAUAUUAUUUGAUGUCCUAAUCAGGCACUCAUUCAAUAGAAACCACUGUGGAAUGUUGCAAAGACAUAGAAAUUGAAAUUCUAGUUGCUGAUGUUAUUCUUAGCUUGCCACUUUGGUUCCAGGGUUUAAAUUGAUUUUUUUUCUAGGCUUUUAAUUAAGUAUAUGAACAGGGGCAUAAUGAGACCAUGGUUAACACUAGAAUUGGUGUGAGGUUCUCUCAUCACUCACCACACCUUGUUUCAAAUCUUUUUAAUUGUUAUUUUUCAGCAUUAAAGAGAGUGGACAUUAUCAUUUAUAUUUAAUUUGUCUAAGAACGUUAUAGAGGGACCAGAUGUAUUUUCUCAAAGGACAGAUACCUAUAUUAGACAUGAAGGGAAUUUUAUAGUUAGUCCUUAAGAGGUAGGAUAGCUUUGUGUGUUCUGUAAUUUAGUUGCUUAAAUUCUGACAGAAUAAAACAACUUGUGUUGCUCUGAAAAUAACUGGUGGAAAGAAACCGCUUUAGCAUGGGCUUCAUCAAAGACUGUUCUAUGGAGCAUGAGUCAUAUGAACUGCUCCAUGAAAAGAGGAUUCUGUGGCCAAGACCCACCUUAUUUUUUGUUCUUGGAGUUUGGUUAGUCCUGUGAUGGAGAAACCAUUCCUGGAGUUUUCUAAAGCUUUCUCGAGUUUAUCAUUAAAGUCCUUAUUCUGCAUUACUUCUCAUAGAAGCACUGUAGUAGUGUAAUAUCAUUUCUUUAAGUCUGUUUUCUUGCAUUUGUUGGGUUAAUGUCUUACUUUCUACAGUCCCAAGACAUUAUUUCCUAUUCAUUUUAUCUACACUAAAUAUAGAUGUAUUUUUCUUUCAGUUCUUUUCUUCCAGCAGACAAUGAUAACCCCUACAAAUGCUCUCAAUGUCUGUCAUCAUAUAAAAUCAGUGACUCUCUUUCCAGAGUUCAUGAGCUUGUGUUAUCCAGUGUCAUUUCUUACAUUUUUUUGCUUCUUGAUAUUUGAAGCUUUGUUAUCAUCUACUCCACAGUAGAACCAUUGAAAUUUAGCUCAGUUUGAAAUUUGGUCAACUUCUGUUUCUCUCAUUCCCAUUUCUCUUAUCCCCAAAUGUCACUUUGUUCUCAUAUUUGAUCAGUACAAUAAACACUGAUCUAUUGUAUUUGUAUCUGUCAUUCCCAUAAAAUGAAAACGUUCUGGAUUAUGGAUAUAAUCUUUUGACAGACCAAUACUGACCUUAUUCACAUCCCCCACCCCUGAAUAGUAGAUUUACUACAUUUUUUCCCCCUCCAGUACAAGUCUCAGUGGUUGCUGAAAGUGUAGAAUCCAGGCCAGCAGUCUCAGUGGGACACCUUUCUGCCCUGCUGUAGGAGUUAAAAUCUGGAUUCAUUCAAUUUACUUGAGGAAAUCUGAGUACCUUUGACAUUCAGGGCAUUGGGGUACAGUGACGAGGAAGAGUACAGACAGGCCCUGCCUUCAUGAGACAUAGAUGACAGUGUUGUCAGCUGCUUCUGAAAUAGUGUGCAAUACAGUUUUUAAAAAAUGUUUUGUGCAGCUGAUUAAGUACACAUCCCCAGCACCUUCCCCAUGGAACUCUCACACUACUAGUCUGUGUACCAGCCCUGGACGCCCCAAGGCCAGGUACCAGACAACUAAAAAUAGCCCCUAAGUCCCAGAGCCUGUGAAAUUAUUCCAAUCAGCCAGCUCACAGGGAGCUUACUAAACUUAGUUAACCCCGCCCUGCUUGUAUAUCAACUCCCCCCUGCCCCAGGGUGUGAAACCUCUGUGUGGCUCUGCCUGGCGGCCUUCUCUAUUUUGGCAAAUAACAAAAAGUCCUGCUUUUCAUCUAUCCAAGUGUCAGUGUGUGGUAUCCUGCCAUCAAAGAACUUAUAAAUCUAGUAAAACAGAGCUGCAAGCAAAAUUGUGGUUUUUCUUUCUUAUUGUUAUGAAAAUUUCAAAGGACUUAAAAUGGAGUACUAAUUGGUGGUGAAAAGGAGAUGGGAUCAGGAUUUUAAGAGGAGGGAGGAAAUUUUUAAAAAAUUACUUAAGUAACUUUGUUCUCCCACCAAGGACAUUAGCCAAUUAAUAUACUCCUUGUAUUCAUUUGUUUAUUGCAUGCUUAUUGAGCAUUUGCUGUAUCACCUUGGUAAUAUACAAUGUUCUAGGAGGUAUGUAGGAACAGAAAAUGCUUACCCUUUUCUUGAGAAACCUACAGAUUAAUUGAGAAGCAUAACAUGCAUGUAGAAUGAUUAGGUAGAUAAAAUCAAGUCUGUAGUAAUAUAGCUACACCAUUCCUGUAAGUCCCAAAAAUGACAAAAAUACUAGAAAACUAGGGAAAUAAAUUUGCUUGCAAUUUUCAGUGAUAGCUAACCUUAAAGUAAUUUUUAAGUUACUCAGUAAUUUGGCUGAAGAAGUAUUUGCAUCAUUGCUCUUUUCCUCAGUUCAUUCUUCCCAGUUCUGAUACCCUUUCUCUGAGGCACAUAGGGCCUAGCUGUUUCUAACUGUAUGUAAAGCUCCAAUGGUAUGGAGUCAUGGGGAUUUUGAGCUGAAGCAGGUAACGAAGUUCUCCCAAGGGAUAGAUUUUGAAGGAAUGUGUUGGCAGUUUGGAUCAGAUGAAGCUUUUUCUUUUAAAACUUGGGUAUGUUUCAAAAAGGAAAAUGGUUUCAGCCCAAAUCCAUUUGCACAACCAACCUUCCUGUUUGGGGAAUUGAAUGCUUAGCUAGUUUAUUUUUGAUGGACAGCCUUCUGUGUGUUUUAAAUGAUGGUUGACUGGCCUAGAAACUGUUUUUUUUCCAGAAUGCAUUUGGUGGUGUUCCCUGAUCUUCAAGGGAACUCACACUUUUUGUGAAGGAGAAGGAGGAAGCUGUAGUUGAUCAAGGCUCUGUCCUUCUCUAGACUCAUUCCACUGACUGUCAACCGUUCUUCCUACCAAUGCUUUCUUAAUUGAACAUCUGCCCUGUAUAAAGGACCAUAGUGGCCUCAGCAAGGGAUGCUAAGCCUGCCAACAGAGAGACGCGGCAUGGACUUUAUAUGUGGCAGAAUGUGGGCCUGGCCAUAAGAGAGACAUAAAGUGUUGUGCACACGGAGUGAAAGAAUCACUUCAAACUGGGUGGAUCUAGAAGAGCUUUACAGAAAAAAUAACACUUGAGCUGGGACUUGGAGAACAGGUUUGAUUUGGCAGCUAGAGAAGGAAUCAGCAAACUGAAGCCUAUGGGCCAAAUCCAUCCUCUCCUGUUUUUAUAGAUAAAGUUGUAUUGGAUCUCAGCCAUGCCCAUUCACUGAUGUAUUAAUCUAUGGCUGCUUUCAUCCGACAACAGCAGAGUCCUGUUGAGGACAGGAGACUAUACAGAGGACAGCUGUAUAGCCCUUAAAGCUAAAACAUUUUCUAUCUGCCCUUUUAUAGAAAAAGUUUGUGACCCUUGGUUUAAAGUCAGUUGCCUGAGGGACUUGAUAUAUGGCCUUGAUAUUUGAACUUGAUGUAAGCCAAAAUAUAUGACUUCAUUUGGCAGACAUUCUGGAAACAAGAGUGUUUCUUAGACUUGGAAGUGUUUGGGUGUUCAUGAUGGCACUGAACUUCAGGACAGGGAGUGAGGUAGAUGAACUCCAGAAGGGAGAUGCUACAGGCAGUAAAAAAAAAAUGCAUAAGUUAAUGUUGUUGCAUAUGUGAAAAAGAAUGAAUGUGGAUUAGGAGGAUAUCUUGGAUAAAAGGAAGAGGGUACAAAAAACAUUGUGAACAAAGCUCUAGAAGGGUGACCCAAAGGAAAGACAGAAUUGAGGAUGAAUCUAGAAUCUUGAGCCUGAAUGAUGGGGAAUGUCAAGGAUUCCUUCUCUGAAGAUAUAUUGACCUGAACAGGACAAAUUUUCCCUCCCCUGCUCCAUUCCAGUUAGGAGGAGGGAUCAAGAUGGCAUGGACCCAUCCCUCAGGGCAGCUGGUGUUAGAGGAGAGGUAGUUAAAAGCUAUUGUUAUUGAGGGAGCAAGACUCAAAGCCUUACUUAUGGAAAAAUAGCUGUUACUGUAUAGGAAACCAUCCUAUGUUGUCUCUUAGAAAAAAACCACUAUGUGAGUUGGAGGAGUGUCCUUGUAUUUUAGGUCAUCUUGCAGGAUUGCGAGAUAAAAUAUAAAUUGCCUGUUAAAUUUGAAUCAGAUCAACAAGGAACACAUAUUUGUAUAAAUAUGCCCCAAACAUUAUGGGACAUACCUGUACCAAAAAUCCUUUGUUCUUGAUCUGAAAUUCAAAUUUAUCUGGGCAUCAAUUUCAGAUCAACAAUGAAUAACUUGUAGUAUCUGUCCCAAGGAUGGGAUAUAUUUAUACCAAAAAAAAUAAUCUGUUGAUUAUCUAAAAUUCAAAUGUAAUUGGGCUUUUUUCCCUAAAUCUGAUAACCCUAUUUCUAAGGUAAGCAGCCAAAGUUUUUACUUUUGGGGAGACUGAACAAGGAUUGGGGCACCUAAAUUUGUUUACCCUCAUAGGAAUGGAGUUGACUCCUUUGGCCCUUCUGGAGCCCACAAUGAACAGAGGAGAGUUCAGUGGACAUCAGGCCAGAGUGUGGGACACUGAUAAGGAGGGCAGAUAGAGGAUGGAUCAAUGGGCAUUGUGGGCUGAAGUUUCCAGUGGUCAAACACCAAUGUAGAUGUUGCUGUGAAGGUGUUUUUUAGAUGUGAUUAACAUUUAAGUCAGUAGAAUUUGAAUACAGUAGACCACUCUCCAUAAUGUGGAUGGGCCUUAUCCAAACAGUUGAAGGUCUUAAGAGAAAAGGCUGAUGUCACUAGAAGAGGAGGGAUUUCUGCCUCCAGACUGCCUUUGAACUCAAGACUGUAACAUUUACCCCUGCUGGAAUUUCCAGCCUGAUAGCCUGCCCUGCAGAUUUUGGACUUGCCAGCUCCCACAGUUGCAUUAGCCAAUUCCUUAAAGUAAAUCUGUGUCUCUCUUUGUCAUAUGUAUGUCUGUAUAUAUUUGUAUACAUAUAUGUGUAUUCACACACACAGACACACACACAUUCUGUUGGUUCUGUCUCUCUGGAGAACCCUAACUAAUACAGGGAGGCAGAUGUAUUAGUAGCAUUGAUGCCCAUUCAUUUUCUCAGAGUUCUAUUGGGAGCUGUAUCAGUGGAGCCACUGCUGAUUUCCUCCAGCACCAGUUUUCUUCCCUCAGCCCCAAGCCUGAGCCACAGUAAGACCAAACUCCCUGGUUGCCCACACAGGUCAUCAAGAUGCGUUAUUUCAAUCAGGGAAAGAUAACCACACCUGGGUUACACCUCUGUGAGCCAUCGCACAUGGGAGGGGGGCUGUUCCGCAGAGCUGGAUGGGCACAGCCUUGGUCUUGGGAUUUGCAGAGGGAGAACUGCCGUUUGACCUCAGGUAAACCCCCAACACAGCAGCCACGGAGUGUGCUGUUAAAACAGCUUGUGCCUAGGAAGACUGCUUCUCCAUAUUUCUUUCCCCUCUUUAUCCAGCCUCCUCACUGGAGAGAUGAUGCAAAGAAAGACGUGCAGGUUUAUAUUAAACAUCUUUGGUAGAUGGCGUGUCUGUCUGCUCUCCUCCCAGCUCCCUAGCAACAGCUAUGUCAUUCUUUUAUACAUUUUUUUUUUUCAUGGAAAUUCUAGCUUUCUGUGUAGGUCUCUCUCUCUCUCUUUUUUUCUCAGUAUCUUUCCCUCUGCCUGUGUCUAUUUCCCUUUCUCUCCCUUUCUCCCCUGCUUCUGUCUCUGUCUCUGUCUCUCUGUGUGUUUCUUUCUCUCUGCUGUGAUUUCCCACAUUAGCCACUGUCCAUUUCUUUGAUUCCUUCUUGGCAACAAGAGUUACAGCACCAUUAUGCAGCAAGCAGUCCUGCUUCCCUGCUACCUUAAAAUAAUAAUGUUUCAUGGUGACAAAUGGAUAUAGUUAACAAUGAAAGUAAAAUGCUUAGCAGGCAGGGGUGCGACCAGGUCAGAUUUAUCUGCCUGGCAGAAACAGAGUAUCCUGAGAUUCCCUAAAGAAAGGAAUAUAUGUGUGAGGGUAGCUGGUAGUGCUUGCUAGGUGGACCCUGCUGCUGUUUUAUUUUUAAUUUAGCUUCCAUAAAUUGCAAGAAUAAUUUCUCAAAAGCAGAAAAAUAGUUAUUUUUUAUUUACUCAGGUUUUGUUAUUGUCUUAGGAAACUUAACUUUAGCAGAUUUUAAAAUCUGAUUUUACAUUUGCUGUUUUUCUUUGAUAAAAAGUUAAAACCCAGAAUAAGACAAUCUUAAUUAAUGCAGAUAAAUAAUCCUUUUUGUGCUCAGUGGCUAAAGUUUCUAUGUUGUGUUGAAAAAGGCCCAAUUAAAGUGAAAAAAAUUGAUUUUUUUUUUCUAGACUGCCUUUCUACUACUGAGAGGAAGAAAAACCCCUAGUAUCCAAAAAAAAAAAAAAAAA
rnacentral:lncRNA from 1 species